UACGUAGGGGGCUAGCGUUGUCCGGAAUCAUUGGGCGUAAAGCGCGUGUAGGCGGUCCGGUAAGUCCGCUGUGAAAGUCGGGGCUCAACCCUCGAUGCCGGUGGAUACUGCGGCUAGAGUCGGCGGAAGAGGCGAGUGGAAUUCCUGGUGUUCAGCGGUGAAAGUGACGCAGAUAUCAGGGAGGAACACCUAUUGCGAAGGCAGCUCGCUGGGGACGUAACUGACGCUGAGACGCGAAAGCGUGGGGAGCAAACAGG
rnacentral:rRNA from 1 species